rnacentral:rRNA from 1 species
CGCUGGCGGCGUGCCUAAUACAUGCAAGUCGAGCGAACGGACGAGAAGCUUGCUUCUCUGAUGUUAGCGGCGGACGGGUGAGUAACACGUAGAUAACCUACCUAUAAGACUGGGAUAACUUCGGGAAACCGGAGCUAAUACCAGAUAAUAUUUUGAACCGCAUGGUUCAAAAGUGAAAGACGGUCUUGCUGUCACUUAUAGAUGGAUCCGCGCUGCAUUAGCUAGUUGGUAAGGUAACGGCUUACCAAGGCAACGAUGCAUAGCCGACCUGAGAGGGUGAUCGGCCACACUGGAACUGAGACACGGUCCAGACUCCUACGGGAGGCAGCAGUAGGGAAUCUUCCGCAAUGGGCGAAAGCCUGACGGAGCAACGCCGCGUGAGUGAUGAAAGUCUUCGGAUCGUAAAACUCUGUUAUUAGGGAAGAACAUAUGUGUAAGUAACUGUGCACAUCUUGACGGUACCUAAUCAGAAAGCCACGGCUAACUACGUGCCAGCAGCCGCGGUAAUACGUAGGUGGCAAGCGUUAUCCGGAAUUAUUGGGCGUAAAGCGCGCGUAGGCGGUUUUUUAAGUCUGAUGUGAAAGCCCACGGCUCAACCGUGGAGGGUCAUUGGAAACUGGAAAACUUGAGUGCAGAAGAGGAAAGUGGAAUUCCAUGUGUAGCGGUGAAAUGCGCAGAGAUAUGGAGGAACACCAGUGGCGAAGGCGACUUUCUGGUCUGUAACUGACGCUGAUGUGCGAAAGCGUGGGGAUCAAACAGGAUUAGAUACCCUGGUAGUCC